AGCCCUGUGUGUACUGCUGAUGCUGUUUUACAAGCGCUGCCUGAUGAGCUUUUAGGGUGAGGCUGUGCCUCCUUUCUUGCUACCAAAGAGCCCAGGACUGGGGCUGUGUUCUGCUGUUUUAUUUUUUCUGAGUAGAUCCCUUGUCUUUUCCUCUCCACUUUCUGGUUAUCCUCAUACCACCCUUGUGGGUUUACCGAUUGUGUAGCAAGCCAAAGACCAAAGAGCGAGAAGCCAAUUGAAGUGGCGGAAAGAUAGCAAAACAUCGUCCAGUCGGGAGCUCAAAGAUCCAGAAGAGAUGACUGCAGUAGUCUGACUGAGCGAGCAAGCAAAAGCAACAUUCUCAACACCCAGCAGAAUCUGGCUCCGGAAAGAGGCAGCCAUGCCAGCGGAGCUCCGACUAUGUCUCCGUUGAUGUUCAUCUUUUUCCUGUUCCCACAACAGAUUGGAUCCUAAACAGCAUCAUUUACUUGGAAAAGUAAAGAAAAAAAUUGAGCUAAGUCCUUUAGGUCAAUUAAAAAGUUUAAAGCAGCGUUGGGCAAAGAGCAACCUUUGUCAGACUUUGGAUGAUAUCCUGAUGGUAAGCCUGGCUACUGACUAAUGAGGCAGGAAGACAAAUAAGACUCUAAGCCAUGACUGCUUGAAGUGGUGUUUUAUUUAGUUGCCACCAAUGGACUCCCUAAGGCUUGGCAUAGAGUGUGGUCAUUUCUCUCCAUCACAAGCCAAGAGUGUUCAGUAUGAGAACGCUCUUGAUAAUCCUAUUCUGUUUAGAAAUUGUGGCUCAUGGGAAUAGCCUUGACUGUGGAGCAUAUGCUGUUCAUGUUCUUCAGGCAUGUCUCAGAAGUAUGAUAGGUCCAAGCACAGAAAUAAAUCUUAAUAGUUACUUAGCUGAUGUUAUAGAAAACUGGGAAAUACUUGCUGUUUUUUUCAUAUCCCACAUUUAAAGGUAUUCUUGGUCAUUUGAAAUUGUUUCUCGUGCAGGCAGGAGACCCAUCAGUUGGGGAGUUCUCACCUCACCAACUAUUGUUCUGGGGCUUGAGAUCGAAUGGAAUAUUGAAUAUGCUGUCCCAGGAUUCUGUGAAUCCAGCACAUAAGAUUGAAGAGUUCUGUUCUCCUCAACCCUCAGGAUUCGUGUAGACUCCACUUCGAAUGUGCUUUCUAUAUGGAGGAGGGUCUUAACUGCACAUCAUGCCUGCCCCAGACUCGUUGCUACGCCUUCUCCUCUUUGUCUCUUUCGCUCUUCACCAUUUCGCAAGUGACUCCUUUACCAAAUUAAUUCUUAUAAUCCUGCUCCUUCUUAGGAUGAAUUUAUAACCCACUAAGAAGUGGGUUCUGUUCAUCGGAUGGGUGUCUGUGGGAGCAGAAGAUGAGGAAGAUGUAGGUAGCAAUGGGGCAGUGUAUGGAGAUGUCUCACCAAGAGCACCAGAAGGAGAAAUGACAAGAGAAGGUUAAAGAGAUGGACAAAAGAAGCUGGCAGGAGACAGAGCGACAGGCUGCACAAAUUCUUUUUUUUAAUUUUUAAGACAGGGUUUUACUAUGUUGGUUUGGCUGUCCUGUAACUCACUAUGUUAUACCAGACUGUACUCAGAGAGAUUUGCCUACCUCUGCCUCCUGAGUGCUGGGAUUAAAGGUGUGUACCACCACAUACAGCAGACUUCAUCACUUCUUAUGGUUCCCAGUGAUGAGAUUUAUUCUCAACUCUCAUUUGGAAGUAAAUAAUUUUGUUAUUAAGUUUCUGCAUGUACUCAUAGGCACACAGGUGGAUAGCAUUAACAACUUUCAAAAAUCCCCUAUUGAGGUCACAUAAUCUCAAGAAGCAAAGAAUCAUUGAACGGUCUCUCUCAAAAGUGAAGUUCAACCAAUAAAACAUGUAUAUAUGUGAACACAUGUUCAUGUGGGUACAGAGACAUGUGGAAAAGAGAACAAGGAAGGAUAAACAUUAGGGGAUGAAGGCAACGAAGAUGAGUUAUGGAAGAUGAUAUAAAGCUAGUUGCUUUUCUAAUUCCAAUUCUGUCAUGAACUUUUCAGUUUUGGUAGCGGAUAAGUGCAUAAAAACCCUGUCUCAUAAAACCAAAACCAAAACCCAAACAAAACAAAAAACAUAUUUGAUGUUAAAAAUGUCAAAUCCAAAUCCAAUGUGAAGUUAUACAGAUUCCAUCCUGAAUGGCUACUCCAGUUGUUCAGAAGUUCACUGAGAUGAUUUGGGUCAUUGGGCAUUGUGUGGUAGCCCACAAGCGACUCAGUUUCCAUCUGGAGUCCAUUAUGGCUCAACAAUCAUUUAAGUUCAAGCUUGCCUGCUCUGCUCGCUCCAGUAUCCUUGAGGGCUGGGAGAAAGUUCUGAUUAAGCCAUGGGAAAGAGCAUUGCCCAUGAGAAAAGAAUUCUAUCUAGUAGAAAGAAUACCGCUGAUGCCAAAGCUUAGGAACAUCGAGGUAGAAACUAAAACUGCUUGUGGGCAGCAAGUGCUUGAUAGUCAGGAAACUGCUCACUCAAGGACAGGAAUGAUCUUGUGCUAGAUACUGACUGGCCGUCUGUGCUUUGUUCUGCUUUCUUUUCUUUUUCUUUUUUGUAUAUAAGGAUCUGAAAUAAACUCAGGGCAGUGCAGAGCAAGCUGGCGGUCCCCCAGACCUAUCCUGUGUUUUCCAUCUCAACUUCUUUCAAUCUGUCAUUUCCUUAAUCUUCACACCCUUACCCAGGUACGCCCAGCUGAUUCUGUUGGAGCAGGCUCCUACAGUCCGGUUAGAUUUAGAGUGCUGAUGUUUCAUUGGUUUCAAUGUAAACAAAUAGCCUUUAAAACUUGUCUACGUUCAUGGAUUCCUAAAUUCUUCCUUUGUAUCUUUGACUUCUCUUAUCAUAAGUAAACUGCCCCAACCCAUGACGUGUGACAGCUGAGAUCAAAUGUUGUGGAUUGAUUCCCUCAUGCAAUGGCUUUGUGUAGUUACCAAAACACUUUAUCUUAACCCAGUAUUGUUCCAUUAUUUCCUCUGCUGGCAUUCUUAACUACAAUUGGAGAGAAUAUAGAUAGUAAAUCUCAAACAAAUAGCAGUGGAACUGGUAGGUAUGUGAGGUAAUGACUAUAUUAAUAAGUUUGAGCCAGUCAUUCCACAAAAGUAUGUAUUUCAAAAUAGCAUGCUACAUUUUUACUUUGUUAACUUGGUAUUUGCACGAGUAUAGUCCCACACAUGCCAAGGCAGGCAUGCAUGCAUGUGUGUGUGUGUGUGUGAGAGAGAGAGAGAGAGAGAGAGAGAGAGAGAGACAGAGAGAGAGAGACAGAGAGAGAGAGACAGAGAGAGAGAGAGAGACNGAGAGAGAGAGAGAGAGAGAGAGAGAGAGAGAGAGAGAGAGAGAGAGAGAGAGAGAGAGAGAGAGAAGGAGAAGAAGGGAUAACUCUAAUCGUUAGUUCUCUCUUCUCUCCUACUGUGUGGUUCCUGGGAACCAAACUCAGGUCAUCAGACUUGGUGGCAAUCCUCUUCAUUCUAAACCUCCUUACAGUCCAAUAUCUACAAUACUUAUUUCUCAAUUUUAGAUAAUCUGAACAAUUAGGAAGAAAAAAAAACCCACACGGUAUCAUCUUUGCUAACUGAUCUUAAACAGUGGCAUGGACUUGCCAAGUGUUCUGAAUCUGAUAUUUAGAAUAUUUUAUAAUGAAAUUGUUGUUUCCUCCAAGCACAUCACAAUUGCUGUGUUUACUAUGGUUACUGAGGCAUGAUAACAGCAAAACGAUGUCAUCAACAAUGAACGUCUUUGUUUUUGCUAGGAAAGAACUCAUGCUUUACAAAUUGAAACAUCUGUGCCACCUCUGGGAACCCCAGGGAACGGAGGAGUUGUAAAAUGAGCCAUAGACAAGCAUGGCUGUUGCUGAGCUCAUGAGGCAUGGAGUGAACGCCAAUGAGAAGUUUCCUCCAUUUACUCAUUUUACCAAAAGCUGUCUGUAUUAGCAGGGAAUCAAACUCUCCAUAUAGAAAAAGACUAAGACAUAUAUGUAGUUGUAUUUAGUUCUUCUAAUCUUCAUAAUGGUAUGGGAGGUCCUUCUGUCUGUGUGUUGCUUUUCUUGGUUAAGAAUAAAGAAACUGCCUUGGCCUGUUUUUAGGGCAAAACUUAGGCAGGUGGGGAAGAUGGAACUGAAUGCUGUUAGGGAGAAGGCAGAGUCAGAGAGAAGCCAUGGAGAAGCCAGAGUCAGACACGCCUAAUCCUUGCUGGCAGGCCACUACCACAUGGCAACAUAUAGAUUAAUAGAAAUGGGUUAAAUUAGUAUAAGAGUUAGCCAAUAAGAAAUUAGAGCUAAUGGGCCAAGCAGUGUUUUCAUUAAUAUAGUUUCUGUGUGGUUAUUUUGGUUCUGGGCGACUGGGAUGAACAAGCGUCUCCUCCUACAAAUUGGUGCCUACGUGGCCAACUAAAUCCAUGUAAAACCUGAGAGGCCUUGAAAAGGAAUUCUAGCAAAAAUAUACAAAGUUUAACACACCUUCUUGCUCUUUGCUGGUGGUAUGCAAUAGCUCCUUUAAGAGAGGUUUUCCUGACUCAGCAGCAGCAGCAGCAGCAAAAAAGCCAUAACGCACGCUUGAAAUGCAGGCUUUCUCGGGACGUGCUGCCAGUACAACCUCUGACUCUUUUGGGAGACCAAGUAUUUGGAUGAGAUUUGUGAGAAGCAUGUGAUCGCUUACUUAUGAUGGCAAUGUGGACCAGCUGUGUGGCUGGAAGUGGGGCUGUGUGUGUGGCUCUCGGAAGCAGCUAGCAGCUCCACCAUAUUACAGUGGGCAUGGCAAGCAGGCAGUACCUUUUGUAGCCUAGUAAUCUUGCCCCUAAGAUUAUUAAGCACUUAGCAUUUUAAGAAGCACUUUUAGUCAGAAAAUAAUUACAGAUAUGCAAUAAAGACAAAUCCAGAUGAGCCAGUGUUAGAUAAACGUAUGUAGGCUUGGAAGAGAGAAGAAAAAGAGCAUAGAGAGUCGUAAAAUAAAGUUAAUACUUUAAAAAAAAAGGGUAAAGUCUUUAAAGAGACAGAGUACAGAUAGUCAUAGAUUAAAAGGAGUAAAAGAAAAUAAGCCACAUAAAAAUGGAAAAUUCACAGAGAGUCUGGAUUAUGUAUAUUAUUGUGUUAUCUUUGAAUUUUUUGACUGUGAAUGAGCAAAGUACAGAGAGACAUUUCAUUGUAUGGACUACUAAGUUAAACCAACAUAAAGAUAUCUUGAUUCCAAAAUUUGAGCCUAAGGAUAUGUUGCUUUGGAAAAGAAGUUCUUCUUUUGUUUCCACAGAAGAUGAGAACCUGUGGAUUGCUUCCAGACCAAUAUGGUUUGAUGGACCAAGAUGUCCUGAAAGGUUUCCUUGAACACCCCUCAAAAAUACACCCCUUGAAAAAUUACUUCACCCAAUAAACAGCAGGAAGUUUGGACAGAACUGCGCCCAUAUUCCAAAUAUUGUUUGUAAAUGUUUUCUUACAUUUAAAGGGGGAUAUAAUAUGAUAUGAAUAAUUUGCAUUGAAUCUUGGUUUGUUAAUACAAAUUUAAGGUCAAUUUGGUUUUAUGUAUAUGUAUUUCUGAUCUUGAUUAAGGUAUAGUGUUUGUGUAGCUCAUUUAAAAAUGUAAUGUAUAAUUAAUAAAUAUAAGUUAAUAGACUAUCAUCUAUAAUAGUCAAGCUUGUAGUAAUGUUAGAUUUUCUAAAUGCACAGAGAUGUAUUUCAGAUAGGUAGGUAUUCUUCAAAUCUUUCAGAGACCUUCAGAAUAUGGCAUUUAAAAUGUUUAAAAACUUAGGACUUUUCAUGACAUGAGACACAUAUGCUCCUGGCAGCACCAAUCUACUCCAAGAGGAAGAUGGGCAUCAAAGAGGCUCUUUAUGGAGAUUUUUAGAUGAACUAGACAUGUAGGAUCCACAGAGAAAUGACUGCUGAGCUUGCCUAAAGGUGAGAUGAUCCUUUGGGGUUCCUGCUUCAUGAAAGAGUCUGAAAGACAUUCUGUAGGACACAGAAGAAAGUGACUGGAAAACUGCAAAUAUAGGCAGAUUUAUGUCUUUGAAAUUUCCUGCUUCAUGGAAAAGUCUGUUGGAUACUAUGGGCCUGUAGGCUGAAUAUGGAUGCUCCAAUGGUACAAAAGAACUUUGGGUGGCUGUCCGGGCAGUCUCUGUUGUAGGGUUAAGCCAGCCCCUUGGGGCGGGCUUGUCUCGGGUGAGCGUUUACUUAUAAAUUGGGCGCGGAAGUCCGCGAGGCCCUUCCUGCUUCCUGUCCUCCGCUGGAACCUGGGUUUUGUGAGUCUGAUUUUCCCAUUAAAGCUGUGUAUAUAUUUCUUACAAUUUGUCUGCAUUAAUCUACGCCGCUACACUCUGUCAAUUCUAGAGUUUUGAAAGUUGCUUACAAUGUACUUCUUGUUUACUUAGGUGAUACUAUAUCCUUCUGGAGUCUUUGAUGGAGUUGAAGAAUUUAUAUUAUAGUUUUAUUUAGUUAUGAUAAAAGUUAAAGUAAAUAUAAAUUUUGUAACUGUAAUUCCUGCUAGAAUUUUACUAUGUUAAAGUCUUCCUUUUUGUUUAAACAGAAAAGGGAAAUGGUGUAGGAGGUCCUUCUGUCUGUGUUUUGCUUUUCUUGGUUAAUGAAUAAAGAAACUGCCUUGGCCUUUUGACAGGGCAGAACUUAGGUAAGUGGGGAAGAUAGAACUGAAUGCUGGGAGGAAGAAGACAGAGUCAGAGAGAUGCCAUAGAGCUGCCAGAGUCAGACAUGCCUAGUCUUUGCCAGUAAGCCACUGCCACAUGGCAAUAUACACAUUAAUAGAAAUGGGUUAAAUUAAUAUGAGUUAGCCAAUAAGAAGCUAGAGCUAAUGGGCCAAGCAGUGUUUUAAUUAAUAUAGUUUUUGUGUGGUUAUUUUGGUUCUGGGUGGCUGGGACAAACAAGUGGCUCACUCCUCCAACAUCAUAAUACUUUGGUUACUCUCUCAGCUCCUAAACAGAGGCUCUGAUACCUCCUUUUAAAGUCUUUGCUGUUUUGAGGUUUCAGUGAGCUAGAGCCUGGGAACUGUGUCAGCAACUUAUUCCAGUGUAUUUAAUCUAUCUUAUUUUCUUUAUAAUCCCUCGAAAUUUGAAAUGAAGGAAAAAUAUUUUCAGGUUAAAGAUUAAACUUGAAUAUUUUAUGAAAUGAUUUGGUCCUUCACAAAGUUGGGUCCCAUGAAA